GUGAUCACUUGUGUAAGAGUUUCCAUGUUUGAAUCACAAUCAAUUCCGUCGAGAAAAACAAGAAGAGGAGGAUCAGAACAUCAAAGGAGGAUAUCAUGAAGGGAUCAUCAGCCGAACUUUCAAGGGUGCAGGUGGUGGUGAAUGGUAGAAAGAGGAAGAAAGACUUGUGGACUCUUCAGGAGAAUUAGAAGUGGAAAAAAGCAUUGCAGAGAUGCAGGCUAUCAGUUAACUUGAUUAGUAGGGAAGGAAAGACAGUAAUUUUGUGGUGGCUUAUGACUCCCAAAAGUUCUUUUGCACCGCCAGUAAAUGCAUAUGAAACACGCUUAACGAUACAUGGCAUGGCAGUAACAAAAUAAAUGAUACAAGAUCACUAACACGGUAAGAGGACUAUUUUCUCAGGUUAGCUCCAACAGCAAGGGAAGGGAAGGGGUAAACAUGAAAGCAAACUUGCUUGCAGGAAACAUGGCUAUUACUUAGGACAACAAAUUACAGCAAGAUAAAGGUAGAAAGGUUAGGAUAUCGGCCAUAUGCUCACGUGCUUCAAAAGUUCUGGGAACUUUGUCAACAACAACUUAUUAUUUCAGGCUAAAGGAAUGCCGGAAAUUGCAAGUAGUCAUGUGAACAAAGUUAACGUGUCACGUAUGUCGACAAGAACACAUGACUACAAUUUUUGGAAUUCAAGAAGGAAGAAAGCAAAAUAUGAGGAGAUGCACCAUCAUUUAAUGUUAAACUUCCUCAACCAACAUUCCACGAAAAAUUUAAGGUAACAUCAUUUUGUUUAAAUCAUAACAUUGUAGUUAUUGCUAAGAUAUAAACUUGCUUUCCUAAAUUUUUUAAGGGUUCAAGUUCAAUCAGUGAUGAAAAAUUUCCAAUUGGUAGAAUGUUGUUCAGAUUUAACCCGCAUGCUUUAGAUAAGAAUCACUAUGCAGCAAAACGAUCGUUUCAGAUGGAUCAUCCAACUAAUGUAAGUGCCCGUUUAAGGGUUCAAGUUCAAUCAGUGAUGAAAAUUCCCAAUUGGUAGAAUGCUGUUAAGAUUUAACCCGCAUGCUUUAGAUAAGAAUCACUAUGCAGCCAAACGAUCGUUUCAGAUGGAUCAUCCAACUAAUGUAAGUGCCCGUUUAAAAGUUCAAUCAGUGAUGAAAAAUUCCCAAUUGGUAGAAUGCUGUUCGGAUUUAACCCGCAUGCUUUAGAUAAGUAUCACUAUGCAGCAAAACGAUCGUUUUAGAUAGAUCAUCCAACUAAUGUAAGUGCCCGUUUGGUAUGUUGUAUAGUAUAAGGUCUGGUACAAUAAGGCCUGAUAGUAAUAGGUCUGAUUGUAUUAGGCCUGAUAAAAUUUUAAUAUUAUACAACGUUUGAUAAUACACUAUUUAACUUAUCAUUUCGUUUAAAUUAAUUUUUUUUUUUGAAAAUGAAAUUAAUAUUAUUAAGAAAAUGCUUGAGCCAAAAUAACUCAAGGCAAGAGUAACGUACAAUCUGAAACAUAAUGGUUCCUGACAAAACAAGUGCUUAAAAGUGCACCAAACCCACCACCAACCCGCAUGAUGGCUUCUAACAUGUUCCCAAGAAUGAGUCUCGUUAAAACCUUACUGAGAAAAACUCAUUGGGAAAAAACCCAGCAAGGAAAAAGAGUACCACCAACUUGGGAAAGCCAUCAUGCAUCUAUAAAACAUGCGAAAUAGGCCAAACGGCAACAGGAAAUUCGUAUACAGUAAAAACAACAGUAUUCCAAUCUCUAUUGCAUCAAAAUAGCGAAUAGAAUCAGCAACCAGACGAAACAGCAGCAACAGCAAUCAGCAAAACAGCAACAGCAACAACAACAGCAAACGCAGAAAACAUCAAAUAGCAAACAGGAAAACAGCAUCCAGCAACUCCAAACAGCAACCAACAAACAGCAAAACAGACCAAAGGAACAGCAACAGCAGCUUCAGCAACAACAAAGCAUAAAUCUGCAACAGCAGCAAGCAGCAAAACAGCAAAACAGCAAAACAGCAAGACAGCAUCCAGCAACCAAAAAACAGCAACCAAAAAACGGCGAAAACAGCAGCAAAAUAUGGCCGGAAUUUCCACACUCAAUUAGUUUACGGCCUGCAAAAAAUCAGUAUCAAAAGAAAAUACCAAAAUUGUUAUGUCAGCCUUGGUGCCCAACAUAAUGCCAAAUUGGCUCCUCACGAGAACAUCCCUCCUUUGCUAACUCAUCCGCCUCCAUGUUCCCCUCCCUCAAAAUAUGUGAUACCCCACGACAAGCCACCAAUGGAAGUAAAUAGUCAAUCAUAUUCAACUCAUGAGUUAAAUUCCAAGGUCAGUUUUUUGUCCCGCACACCCAUUCCACUGCAAGACUUGAGUCGCUCUCAAUUUCUACCGAAUAUACCAUGAACUGUUGGCAAAAUAAUAAGGCAUAUAAGAUUGCUAAAACCUCCGCCUCAUCCGCACGUUUUACCUCCACCUUUCUAGAGAAUUUCCCAACCACCUUCCUAACAUUAUUCCUCAGAAUCCCCCCAAUGCCCGCCCUUCCCGAUUGGAAAGAACCAUCCACAUUGAAUUUCAGAAACAAUCCUUGAGGUGGUUUCCAAGGUAUGACAGGCCGCGUGCUAACCUUAGCAUGUACAUCAAUUUUUGUGAAACCCCUUGCAGGCUCAUUUGCAUCAUAAGGACAAUCUUGCCACCAAGCUCUCAUCCAGGUAAAUAUUAAAAAUACAUGAGACUCCCAAAUGGCUUCUGGAUCAAAAAAUUUAUCAUGGAAAAUCACAUUAUUCCGUGUCAUUCAUAUCUCCCAGCAUAAUGCAUAAGGAAUCAAAUCCCAUAAAAUUCUUGAGGUACUUUUAUGCAACGCACCCCAUUCAUCCAGCAAUGUCGAAAUUGAUGCUGGAGCAGACCAGGAAAUGCCCUCCCUGUGUAACACAGCUAUCCAUAACAUCCAAAUUCUCGGACAAUGCAAAAAAAGAUGAGCCAUCGUCCCUGUUGUAGACAAGCAAAAUAUGCAGGACGCACCAUUCUCUAAGACCACCCCUCUUUGAGCCAGAUUCUCCUUAGAAGUUAUUCUGUUCUUCUGUACCUGCCACAAAAAUAAAGCAAUUUUGGAAGGUAAAAUAGGCCUUAAGAUUUGAGGUACUGACCAACCGUCCUCAGUGAACCAUCGAGCUUCUACUACUGCACACAUAGAUUUAACACUAUAAAGGCCCAUAUUAUCAUGCUUCCAAAUGAGCGAAUCAGCAUACGCCCUCUCCCCCUGUUUAGGAACCAAAGUCUGAAGAAGUGCCUGCAAAUCAUGAUACUAUUCUCUCUCCCAACCCAGAAAAUCUCGAACAAAAGCAAUAUUCCACACCCACUGAGGACCUGCGACUGUACCACACUCCCCCACCAUUGCCCUUUUAUUUACUGCCAAGGCAAACACCCGAGGGAAAGCCACGCUAAGAGGUGCAGCACCUACCCAAUGAUCCAGCCAGAAAAACACACCACUCCCCCUCCCUAUCUGACAAGCUAACCCAUCCCUAAAAACACUGCCCACUAGCCCACUAUCACGCCAAACGCCAUACACAUCUACCAAAGGCUUAGAUAAUUUUUUCACCUCAGCAGGAUCAACAUUAAAAGAUAUCAGCUGCAGCGGUAAACCAUAUUUUUUACAGACCACCUCCCUCCAAAGUGCAUCUCUCUCCCUGCCAAAACGCCACACCCACUUCAACAACAUAGCCUUAUUUUUCCAUUCAAGGAAACCAACUCCUAAUCCUCCAAACCGAGUACCUUUAAUAUAAACCUAUGUUUUGUGAAAUAUUGAAUAAUGAUAUAUAUUAUAAAAAUGAAGAUGGUGUUAGUGGGUGGUAAAAAUGGCGGUGGCGGUUUUUAUUUGUUUUACAUUAAUUGAGGGAAAAUCUGGUUUAUUGAGUAGAUUGAGUUUCAAUUAUGAAAGGGGGAAAUAUUCCUUAUUUGUUUAAGUUUUUAUUCAGUUUUUUUUAAAAGAAAAGGCUGAAUAAUUAUUUUUAUUUUCAAAUAUUGUAUUCAGUGUUUAUUCAGUGUGUGUAGGUGCCUUUCUAAAUCAGCUUAUACACUUGAAUGAAAAGAAAACCUCCCCCCUUUUCCUUCCCAAAACCUGCGGCCUCAACCCAAGCACAACUAGGGUUUUCAACUUUUCCUUCCCAAAACCUGCGGCCUCACCCAAGCACAACCAGAUUUUCCCUCAAUUAAUGUAAAACAAAUAAAAACAAGAUAUUCCCUUAUCUCUUUUUAUUCAAAUUUUCGGCCACACAUCCCUUGGCAUCCAAGCAACACGCAUUUCAUCUCUUUGAGGGUAAAACCUCACAAAAUCAUUUUAUUUCAAAGCACUCAAACAUUAUUAUUUCCAAAAUGAUAAUAUUUCACAUAUUUCAUGCAACUUUCACACGCAAAAAUCAAAAAAAUCACUAACAAGUCACACCUCAUUAUUUAUUCAAUAAAUAAUAUCAUUCAUAAAAAAUAGGGUCUUACAGCGGCCGGUGUGGCUGUGGUGGUGAUGGAGGGUGGUGGGUGUAGAAGUGGCAGCGGUGAUGUUGAGUGGUGGUUGGGGUGGUGGCGGCGGUGGAGGGUUGUGGCGGCGGUAAUGGCAGUGGUGGUUUAGGUGGUGGCAGCGACAAUGGUGGUGUUGGAAGUGAUGGUGAUGAUGGAUGGCGGUGGUAGCGGGGGAGGAAAGUGGUUGUAGUAGUGGUGGUGGUGGGACAUGGCGGUAUCUAGUAGUGGCGGGGAUGACAAUGACAGUUGAGGUGGUGGAGGUGGUGGUGGCGGUGGCGGUGGUGAUAGCGAUGAUAACAACGAAGGUGGUGGUUGUGGUGUGUAAAACCCGGAAUUAAUAGACAUUUAAUUUCCAUUAAUUAUGACAACGUGUACUAUUUUAUCUUAGUUUUAGGAAUUCUUAUUCUUAAGUUAUUUAUUUCUUUUAUGAAUAGAUGACCUGCACUAACAAGUCACAUUUCUUAGUUACCUGUGAUAGUCUAUACCAAAAGAUUAUUCUUUAUUCUUUUCCCCCUCAACCACCCAAUUAAUUCAUCCUUAUCCUCCCACCUCAUUUUCUAUCUUCUCCACCACUCAUUCAAAAUAUAUUUUCCUAUCACACUCUCUCCCCUCACGUGGGCCCUACCCCACCCAAUCAGAUUCAACCCCUCUCUCAUUCACGCUCUCUCCCUCUCAAUCGACGUUUUCUCUCCUCUCACCCACAACAUCUUCUUUUUCAUUUUCUUACUCCCUCCCCUGCAAACUCAACACAACCAUGGCAACACCUUCCUUCUGUAUACAUCAUCAUCAUCAUAAUCUGCUCCUACCUUCCUCCUUGACACAAGCAGCCACCACCAAACUCUCUUCUUCUCUCGUCCAUGGCCGCGAACGCACCACCACCGCGUGCCUAGCCGCCACCACCGUGCCUCCUCCUCGCCUUAGAGGCAGCCAUUGCCUUCGUCUUCUCCUUGCCUUGUUCCGAGAGUCCCACAUACGAGAAAAGGUCACAAAUAGAGUUGAACCGAGUAACAUUGCAAAGGCAUAAUGAUAGUCGUCGCCGCUCCACCACCACCUCCAGGGUAGAAGAAAACUGAUGCAAAACAGAGGAGAUGAAACCCUAAAACCGCCACCUUCAACCGUCGAUCUCCGGCGAACCGCUCAUCAACGGGAGAAACUAACACCACCAUUGGACUCCCUUCAGCGUCCGCAACAAAACCCCUCAAUCAAUUUGUCAUUCCGCCGCCAGCCACUAUGAACCACCGUCUUCACCGGCCAUCCUUCACCGGAGAAGUCACUAAACUUAGAAACAAGAAGCUCUUCCUCUCCUCUGUUUGAAUUAAUGAGCAAUUUAUGGUAAGGAACUCUCCUUUCUUCCAAUUUCUCAUUUACCCCUUUUAAAACCCUAAUUCUCCCCUCAUUCAUCUCCUAACUCCACGCUCUGGGCUACAUGUUCUUGCUGUUCAGUUCUGAUGAUCACUAAUAGAGAGGAGAGCCAUGGCCUGCAAAGAAGGACCCUCCCACUAAUUUCAGUCUUGAUAGGGUUGGCAUCUGUUAUCUGGAUCAAAUUAUUAUUGCAGAGUUUAGGUUUUCCUAAGUCAUAAAUCCCUUAUCAAUCUUGUUGUCCAAAUGCUAUGUAAAAUUUAAUGAAGGGAAAUAUAGAUUAGUGUAUCUCUGUGGUGUGAGUAUCAGUGCCAUGUUAUUCAUUUUAGAGGAUCUGAGAGUUUAGUCCUAAGUGUACAUGAAAGGUUUUUGUGAAAGCUUAAAUAAAAUUGCAGUUGUUUUGAAUAUGGUAGACAAUUGAUUUGUAAAAAACUUGUAUUUCCUAUCAUUUUUUGGAACUGUGUUCUUCGUAAGAAUUGUAGCCCUUUCUGUUAGAAAACUUUUUCCGCUGGUUUCAUGUGAAAGCCUAAAUAAAACUGUAGUUGUUUUGAAUAUGGUAGACAACUGAUAUGUAAAAAUCUUGUAUUUCCUAUCAGUUUUUGGAACUGUAUUCUUCAUAAGAAUUGUAGCACUUUCUGUUAGGAAACUUUUGCCAAUAGUUUCAUGUCGUUCCGACGUCUGUAGCUCAAGUUAUACGCUUUUCAAUGAGCAUGAGUUAAGCUAUUCCGUUUCUCACGAACUACUGUUAAUAUUUGAUUUUUUCUAAAUUUUGUACUUCGAAGUUAGCUUGAAAAUUUACAGAGAUUUACAAAACUUUAGACAAAUUCAUAAUAAAAAUUGGGGCGUUACAAUGACAAUCUUGAUGUUGGAGAUGUGACUUAGGAUUGAAUGUUGAAUUUUAAGAAGUUUAUGAGUUUCGCUAUAAAUACUUGAUUUUAGAAGGUUAAGGUUUUAAUCUUUAGAAGUUCGAUGACUCUUAUGUUAAGGUUAAGGUUUUAAUUUUUAAAUACGUCAAAUACACUCAGAAAAAUCUAAUAUUUUUAUUAUGAAUUCGUCUAAAGUUUUGUAAAUCUCUGUAAAUUUUCAAGCUAACUUCGAAGUACAAAUUUAGAAAAAAUCAAAUAUUAACAGCAGUUCCUGAGAAACGGGAUAGCUUAACCCAUGCUCACUGAAAAGCGUAUAACUUGAGCUACAGACGUCGGAACGACAUGAAACUAGUGGCAAAAGUUUCCUAACAGAAAGUGCUACAAUUCUUAUGAAGAAUACAGUUCCAAAAAACUGAUAGGAAAUACAAGAUUUUUACAUAUCAGUUGUCUACCAUAUUCAAAACAACUACAGUUUUAUUUAAGCUUUCACAUGAAACCAGUGGCAAAAGUUUUAUAACAGAAAGGGCUACAAUUCUUAUGAAGAACACAGUUCCAAAAACUGAUAUGAAAUACAAGAUUUUUACAUAUCAGUUGUCUACCAUAUUCAAAACAACUACAGUUUUAUUUAAGCUUUCACAAAAACCUUUCAUGUACAGUAAGGACUAAACUCUCAGGUCCUCUAAAAUGAAUAACAUGGCACUAAUACUCACACCACACACAUACACUAAUCUAUAUUUCCCUUCAUUAAAUUUUACAUAACAUUUGGACAACAAGAUUGACAAGGGAUUUAUGACUUAGGAAAACCUAAACUCUGCAGUAAUAAUUUGAUCCAGAUAAGAGAUACCAACCCUAUCAAGGUUGAAAUCAAUGGGAGGGUCCUUCUUUGCAAGCCAUGGCUCUCCUCUCUAUUAGUGAUCAUCAAAACUGAACAGCAAGAACAUAUAGCCCAGAGUGUGGAGUUAGAAGAUGAAUGAGGGGAGAAUUAGGGUUUUAAAAGGGGUAAAUGAGAAAUUGGAAGAAAGGAGAGUUCCUUACCAUAAAUUGCUCAUCAAUUUGAACAGAGGAGAGGAAGAGCUUCCUGUUUCUAAGUUCAGUGACUUCUCCGGAGAAGACGGUGCCUGGCGGAGGGCGACGGAAUGAAAAAUUGAUGGAGGGGUUUUGUUGCGGACAGUGAGGAGAGUCCAAUGGUGGUGUUAGUUUCUCCAGUUGAUGAGCAGUUCGGCGGAGAUCGAGGGGUGAAGGUGGCGGUUUUAGGGUUUCAUCUCCUCUGUUUUGAAUCAAUUUUCUUC